rnacentral:rRNA from 1 species
GCCCGGAGGAGUUACGUACGACCCUCCGGGCCCUCCCGCGAGAAAUCAGGAGUAUUCGGGUUCCGGGGGGAGUAUGGUCGCAAGGCCGAAACUUAAAGGAAUUGACGGAAGGGCACCACCAGGAGUGGAAUCUGCGGCUUAAUUUGACAACGCGGGAAAACUCACCAGGUCAGGACACGGUAAGGAUUGACGGACUGAAGGCUCUUUCUCGAUUCCGUGGAAAGUGGUGCAUGGCCGUUUUUGGUUGGUGGAUCGAUCCGUCUGGUUAAUUCCGUUAACGAACGAGACCUCGGCACUCCGAAUAGCGCGGCGGACGUCGCGGCCUCCGGGCCGUCUUCCGCACGAGCUUCUUAGAGGGACCGUCCCCCGCCGGGGAAGGAGGUGCGAGGCAACGACAGGUCUGUGAUGCCCUUAGAUGUUCUGGGCCGCACGCGCAUUACACUGACGCGUCCAACGGGUGACUCCCGACCCGAAGGGGCCGGGGAAUCCGCAAGGCGCGUCGUGAUGGGGAUUGAACGUUGCAAUUGUUGUUCACGAACGAGG